CUCUACUACCAUACCACGCUGCAAGCGCCCGAUCUCGUCUGAUCUUGGAAGCUAAACAGCGUUGGGCCAGGUCAGUACCAGGAAGGGAGACCACCUGUGAAUACCUGGUGUUGUAGAGC